CCUACGGGGGGCAGCAGUGAGGAAUAUUGGUCAAUGGACGAGAGUCUGAACUAGCCAAGUAGCGUGAAGGAUGACUGCCCUAUGGGUUGUAAACUUCUUUUAUAUGGGAAUAAAACGUUCCACGUGUGGGAUUUUGUAUGUACCAUAUGAAUAAGGAUCGGCUAACUCCGUGCCAGCAGCCGCGGUAAUACGGAGGAUCCGAGCGUUAUCCGGAUUUAUUGGGUUUAAAGGGAGCGUAGGUGGAUUGUUAAGUCAGUUGUGAAAGUUUGCGGCUCAACCGUAAAAUUGCAGUUGAAACUGGCAGUCUUGAGUACAGUAGAGGUGGGCGGAAUUCGUGGUGUAGCGGUGAAAUGCUUAGAUAUCACGAAGAACUCCGAUUGCGAAGGCAGUUCACUGGACUGCAACUGACACUGAGGCUCGAAAGUGUGGGUAUCAAACAGGAUUAGAUACCCUUGUAGUC
rnacentral:rRNA from 1 species